AAUAGUGUGGCUAAACAGUAAAGCAUCUGCUUAUCAAGCAGAGCGACAUGAGUUCAAACCACCACACUAUUC
rnacentral:tRNA from 1 species